rnacentral:rRNA from 1 species
GUAGUCAUAUGCUUGUCUCAAAGAUUAAGCCAUGCAUGUCUAAGUAUAAGCAAUUAUACCGUGAAACUGCGAAUGGCUCAUUAAAUCAGUUAUCGUUUAUUUGAUAAUACCUUACUACUUGGAUAACCGUGGUAAUUCUAGAGCUAAUACAUGCUGAAAAUCCCGACUUCGGAAGGGAUGUGUUUAUGAGAUAAAAAACCAAUGCCCUUCGGGGCUUUUUGGUGAUUCAUGAUAACUUUACGGAUCGCAUAGCCUUGCGCUGGCGACGGUUCAUUCAAAUUUCUGCCCUAUCAACUUUCGAUGGUAAGGUAUUGGCUUACCAUGGUUUCAACGGGUAACGGGGAAUUAGGGUUCGAUUCCGGAGAGGGAGCCUGAGAAACGGCUACCACAUCCAAGGAAGGCAGCAGGCGCGCAAAUUACCCAAUCCCGACACGGGGAGGUAGUGACAAUAAAUACUGAUACAGGGCUCUUUUGGGUCUUGUAAUUGGAAUGAGUACAAUUUAAACCUCUUAACGAGGAACAAUUGGAGGGCAAGUCUGGUGCCAGCAGCCGCGGUAAUUCCAGCUCCAAUAGCGUAUAUUAAAGUUGUUGCAGUUAAAAAGCUCGUAGUUGAAACUUGGGCCUGGCUGGCGGGUCCGCCUCACCGCGUGCACUCGUCCGGCCGGGCCUUCCUUCUGAAGAACCUCAUGCCCUUCACUGGGCGUGCUGGGGAAUCAGGACUUUUACUUUGAAAAAAUUAGAGUGUUCAGAGCAGGCCUUUGCUCGAAUACGUUAGCAUGCAAUAAUAAAAUAGGGCGUGCGUUUCUAUUUUGUUGGUUUCUAAAGACGCCGCAAUGAUUAACAGGAACAGUCGGGGGCAUCAGUAUUCGGUUGUCAGAGGUGAAAUUCUUGGAUUUACUGAAGACUAACUACUGCGAAAGCAUUUGCCAAGGAUGUUUUCAUUAAUCAGUGAACGAAAGUUAGGGGAUCGAAGACGAUCAGAUACCGUCGUAGUCUUAACCGUAAACUAUGCCGACUAGGGAUCGGGCGAUGUUCUUUUUCUGACUCGCUCGGCACCUUACGAGAAAUCAAAGUUUUUGGGUUCUGGGGGGAUUAUGGUCGCAAGGCUGAAACUUAAAGAAAUUGACGGAAGGUCACCACCGGGCGUGGAGCCUGCGGCUUAAUUUGACUCAACACGGGGAAACUCACCAGGUCCAGAUGAAAUAAGGAUUGACAGAUUGAGAGCUCUUUCUUGAUUUUUCAGGUGGUGGUGCAUGGCCGUUCUUAGUUCGUGGGGUGACUUGUCUGCUUAAUUGCGAUAACGAGCGAGACCUUACUCUGCUAAAUAGCCAGGCUAACUUUGGUUGGUCGCCGGCUUCUUAGAGAGACUAUCAACUCAAGUUGAUGGAAGUUUGAGGCAAUAACAGGUCUGUGAUGCCCUUAGAUGCUCUGGGCCGCACGCGCGCUACACUGACAGAGCCAACGAGCUCUUUUCCUUGUUCGAAAGAAUUGGGUAAUCUUGUUAAACUCUGUCGUGCUGGGGAUAAAGCAUUGCAAUUAUUGCUUUUCAACGAGGAAUGCCUAGUAAGCGCGUGUCAUCAGCAUGCGUUGAUUACGUCCCUGACCUUUGUACACACCGCCCGUCGCUACUACCGAUUGAAUGGCUAAGGGC